GCAUUCCAGACAAAAAGAUAGCAGUUUAAAGGCAGGGAAGUGUCAAAGAGAGUGUUAUUAUACAUUUUGGUAAUGGGGCAUAAUUUGGGUAUGAUCAAGAAAUAUUAUACAUGGAACGGAUGGUAGGAGAUGGCAUGCUGAAGAGCUUAGCUGACAGAAGACAAUGCAAAGGUUUUUGUUUUAGAAUAAAGCUCAUCUUCAACUCUUAGGAAUUGUGACUUGAAGAGUACUUAGGAGGGAGAGGCUCUGAUGAGAUUUCUGUUUCAGGAAAAAUCACGGUGGCAAAAGACGUCAAUGAUGUUUUAUGGACAGGAGGCAUUGGAGGCAGGAAGAGCUGGUCUAUAUUCAGCCAGUCCAUUUGAGAGGUCUCCUGGCUGCAGAGGAAUUUCCUUCAUUUUAUGGAUGAGGAUACUUCAAGAAAACCAAGCCAUAUGUAGUUUAUACUUUGGAAAAGCCACCUGAACCUAUUAAUGAAUCUGAAGAUUGGAUCUCUGAGAACAUCAGAAAAAGACUGUCCUUGCUAUGCACACUACAGCAAAAACUUUGGGACUUUGAAACUGGAUUUAUAAUCCCACAACUGAGAACAGAGUCUCUCCAAACUCUUGCAAUUGUAUACCCACUGGAACACUUAAGGUAAAGCUAACCAGGGAAGAUGGCAUCCUUUAUGUGAACAGCUUUUCACAAGAUCACAGAUCAGGACUUCUACUAUCAUGAGACCCUUAUUUUUGAAUAUUUUUUCCUUGCUUAUGCCUUUAUGAACAAUAGAAGUGAAAAGGGGGUCUGUUGUGUGCACUUAUGGAGUAUACUUUCAUUUGUGACCGAUUUUGCAGCUGCCCUUAUACAUAGAUAACUUUAUACUUUGAUAGGUGAAGGCCCAGUGUAUGUGAGAAACUUUAAUGGUACAUAUGUUUUCUCAUAAUCAGUCAGAAACAGAACAUUUGUUCACUCCUCUGAACCCACAUCAUCAGUUAAAGAGAACAUUGCCAAGAGGGCCUUCGAUCUUCUAGAAGGGCAUCGUUUGUUAGGUCCUUUUUCCAUGGUUUGGAAUAAAAGAGGCAAUGAAUAGAAAUGUAUACCUCACAAUAGACUCUAUGGCAGAUUCUGCUGUAAAGACUAUACUUACACAACAGACUUUAAAUUCUCUUGGGAAAAUUAUGCUAAAUAAUAGAAUUGGCUAAACAGAGAAGUAUCUGUGUAUCUGCUGACACUUAUGGCCUAUGGAGAAGACAUCAGGUAUUGCAGAGAUUCAGUGGCAGGAAAUUAAUGAAAAGACCACUUAGUUAAGCAAGUAGACUCUUUAGCUCAUUCUUUUAUCUAUUUAGUUUUAGAUGGUUUGGUUUAUGGGGACCCUGGGUAAGGAACAUACUCCAAACUUUUGGUAUUAUCAUCCCAAUAGUCGUAAUAGUCUCCCUGAUGUUCUGUAUUCUCUCAAAGGUUUUAAAUGUUUGCAUGCAGCCAUCUCUAGGAUGUCAAAUGGUAUCUCUUCAGAUACCAUGCAGAGCUAAAAGAAACGUGCAACAAUGAGGACACCAUAACCUAUGAAUGACAUGCUGAGACUGGAAACCUAAAAUGAUGGUAACUGAGAGUGGUGCUAAGGCCCUAAGUUUUGGUCACACUGUCACCUAAAUGAAAACCUGGCUGAAAGGGGUGAAAUUUUUUAAACAAAAUUAUGGGAGGCCCUUGUUUUGGACUGAGCUUAUGCACUAGGCCCCAACAGACCAAACUAAACCAAAAUGGAGUCACUCAUGCUAAAUGUGACAUAAUCAAACGAAGACAUUAAGGAAACACAUAGAUCCUAGAAGAGACCAGGUUUUGUUUUGCUCCUGUAAACAAGAUGUUACAGUAUGAGGGAUACCCUCUACUCAAGUCCUUGUUCCUGCCUUUGAAAAACUCACUGUUCUACUGUUUCUCAGUAGGUUUCAAGACCAAAUAAGUACAUUUGCAAUGGUGAUAGUGACAUCAAUGACUAAAGUUUUGGUCAAUCUCUCAAAAUUGAGAAAAUGACCAAAAGGGGGGAAUUGUUAAAGUGAACUAAAUAUAGCCUGAGAAGGGCUCCACAAUUCUGUAUUUGAGUCCUUGUGGACAAACUACAACCUAACUUAAUAAGUAGACAAGAUUAGAAACCAAACUUAGGAGUAUGUGCCUGUAACAACAGCUGAGUCUUGGCCAGUCCCAGCAGCCAUACUUCAACCAUUCAUACACUGCUGAGUGUUCAAACUGUGUUCAAAUAAGGCAAACAUCAACCUGUAACCAAUCUAACUGUUUUUGUACCUCACUUCCAAUUUCUGUAUGUCACUUUGCUUUUUUUGUCUAUGAAUUUGUUCUGACUAUGAGUCACCCCUGGAGUCUCUCUGAAUCUGCUGUGAUUCUGGGGACUGCCUGCUUCGCGAAUUGUCCAUUGUUCAAUUAAAUUCCUUUAAAUUUAAUUCAUCUGAAGUUUUUCUUUUAACAGUCCUACAAAAUCUUCACUGGCUAAGCUAUAAGAGGAGGUCCUCAGGUGAUGUUUAAUAUAUAAAAUUUUAAUUUUUAAUAGGUAGUCUAUACUUGGAUAUCAAGAGUCUGUUUUGAGAAUAGUAUUUUGGACACAGUGUAUCUUGAAUUCACCAGGGUGCUUGAUACCCUUGGUAGGAAAGCUGGAUUAAACGUAACUUGCUGGAAGUGUCCAAUUAGAGUAAAGUGAAUGUAGUGGAAAAGUUCUAGCAGCAAGUUAUAGAUUUGGUAAUUGUACCCUUACCCAACUUUGGUAGAAAUUGGAUUGGCAUUUGUUACAACACAUCAUAUUAGUUGUUCAUAUUCCUGCUUCCUCUCCAACACCCACUCAUUAAUUCCCAAGGCAUCAUGGACUUGAAUUGCGCCAGGCACCGUGCUGAUGCUGAGUGUCACAGUGCAAAAUUGGCCAG
rnacentral:lncRNA from 1 species